rfam:Candidatus Kaiserbacteria bacterium RIFCSPHIGHO2_01_FTLL_53_31 rifcsphigho2_01_scaffold_2396, whole genome shotgun sequence.
GCGGCUGUAGCUCAACGGUAGAGCGCUACCCUGUCACGGUAGAGGUCGUGGGAUCAUCACCCAUCAGCCGCG